AGCUCCAAUAGCGUAUAUUAAUGUUGUUGCAGUUAAAAAGCUCGUAGUUGGAUUCCUGGCACGGGGUAGCCGGUCCGCCUUGCAAAAGGUGCGCACUGAGCGGCCUCGGCCAUCCUUGCGAUGGUCUAUCCUGGCAUUCAGUUGUCGGGGUGGGGAUUCGCGACGUUUACUGUGAAAAAAUCAGAGUGUUCAACGCAGGCUUACGCCUUGAAUACAUUAGCAUGGAAUAAUGAGAUAGGACCUUGGCGGUCUAUUUUGUUGGUUUGCACGCCGAGGUAAUGAUUAAAAGGGACGGUUGGGGUUCUUCGUAUUCAAUUGUCAGAGGUGAAAUUCUUGGAUUUAUGGAAGACGAACUGCUGCGAAAGCGUCGAACAAGGACGUUC
rnacentral:rRNA from 1 species